AUUGAACGCUGGCGGAAUGCUUUACACAUGCAAGUCGAACGGCAGCACGGGGCAACCUGGUGGCGAGUGGCGAACGGGUGAGUAACGCGUAUGUAACCUACCCUGUACAGGGGGAUAACCCGGAGAAAUUCGGACUAAUAUCCCAUAGAAAUAUUGGAAGGCAUCUUUUGAUAUUUAAAGUUCCGGCGGUACGGGAUGGGCAUGCGUAACAUUAGCUAGUUGGUAAGGUAACGGCUUACCAAGGCUUUGAUGUUUAGGGGUCCUGAGAGGGUGGUCCCCCACACUGGUACUGAGACACGGACCAGACUCCUACGGGAGGCAGCAGUGAGGAAUAUUGGUCAAUGGGCGCAAGCCUGAACCAGCCAUCCCGCGUGCAGGAAGACGGCCCUAUGGGUUGUAAACUGCUUUUCCAGGGGGAGAAACCUGCGCACGUGUUGCGCAAUUGACGGUACCCUGGGAAUAAGCAUCGGCUAACUCCGUGCCAGCAGCCGCUGUAACAC
rnacentral:rRNA from 1 species